UACGUAGGGUGCAAGCGUUAAUCGGAAUUACUGGGCGUAAAGCGUGCGCAGGCGGUUAUGCAGGACAGAUGUGAAAUCCCCGGGUUCAACCUGGGAACUGCAUUUGUGACUGCAUAGCUAGAGUACGGUAGAGGGGGAUGGAAUUCCGCGUGUAGCAGUGAAAUGCGUAGAUAUGCGGAGGAACACCGAUGGCGAAGGCAAUCCCCUGGACCUGUACUGACGCUCAUGCACGAAAGCGUGGGGAGCAAACAGG
rnacentral:rRNA from 1 species